rfam:Schistosoma mattheei strain Denwood, Zambia genome assembly, scaffold: SMTD_contig0000048
AUUGAGCUGACGAGUGCCAAACAGGACGAAACGCGUGUCCUGGAU